AAAAAGAUAAGCUAAAAUAAGCUAAUGGGUUCAUACCUCAUUCAUGAAAAAAAUUCUCUUUUUA
rnacentral:tRNA from 1 species